AUUGAACGCUGGCGGCAGGCCUAACACAUGCAAGUCGAGCGGGAACUUCGGUUCUAGCGGCGGACGGGUGAGUAAUGCGUAGGAAGCUACCCGACAGAGGGGGAUACCAGUUGGAAACGACUGUUAAUACCGCAUAAUGUCUACGGACCAAAGUGUGGGACCUUCGGGCCACAUGCUGUCGGAUGCGCCUACGUGGGAUUAGCUAGUUGGUGAGGUAAUGGCUCACCAAGGCGACGAUCCCUAGCUGGUUUGAGAGGAUGAUCAGCCACACUGGAACUGAGACACGGUCCAGACUCCUACGGGAGGCAGCAGUGGGGAAUAUUGAACAAUGGGCGAAAGCCUGAUCCAGCCAUGCCGCGUGUGUGAAGAAGGCCUUCGGGUUGUAAAGCACUUUCAGUAAGGAGGAAGAGUUGAGUGUUAAUAGUACUCAGCUUUGACGUUACCUACAGAAGAAGCACCGGCUAACUCUGUGCCAGCAGCCGCCGUAACAC
rnacentral:rRNA from 1 species